GAAUUCACUAGUGAUUAGAGUUUGAUCCUGGCUCAGGAUGAACGCUGGCGGCGUGCUUAACACAUGCAAGUCGAACGGACCCUACGGGGUUAGUGGCGGACGGGUGAGUAACGCGUGAGGAUCUGGCCUUAGGAGAGGGACAACAGAUGGAAACGUCUGCUAAUACCUCAUAUGCCGAGAGGUGAAAGCUUGAUGUGCCUGAGGAUGAACUCGCGUCGGAUUAGCUAGUUGGUGGGGUAAGGGCCUACCAAGGCGACGAUCUGUAGCUGGUCUAAGAGGAUGAUCAGCCACACUGGGACUGAGACACGGCCCAGACUCCUACGGGAGGCAGCAGUGGGGAAUUUUCCGCAAUGGGGGCAACCCUGACGGAGCAACGCCGCGUGCGGGAGGACGGCCUAGGGUUGUAAACCGCUUUUCUCUGGGAAGAAGAUAUGACGGUACCAGAGGAAUAAGCGUCGGCUAACUCCGUGCCAGCAGCCGCGGUAAGACGGAGGAUGCAAGCGUUAUCCGGAAUUAUUGGGCGUAAAGCGUCCGCAGGCGGCUAAUUAAGUCUGCUGUCAAAGCCCACAGCUCAACUGUGGAUCGGCAGUGGAAACUGGUUAGCUUGAGUGCGGUAGGGGUAGAGGGAAUUCCCGGUGUAGCGGUGUAAUGCGUAGAUAUCGGGAAGAACACCAGUGGCGAAGGCGCUCUACUGGGCCGCAACUGACGCUGAGGGACGAAAGCUAGGGGAGCGAAAGGGAUUAGAUACCCCUGUAGUCCUAGCUGUAAACGAUGA
rnacentral:rRNA from 1 species